rnacentral:lncRNA from 1 species
CGUGCGGCGCCAAAGGAAGGUCUGGCCGGUGGGGAGGGUGAGCGGGAGGGACAGGUCGGCGGGGUAGAGCGGCAGCGGGUGCCAAUCUCCUUCCGCCUCGGCCGCGGCGGCGACGAGGGGGAGGAGGCGGCGGCGGGCGGGAGGAGGGCAGUGGUCAGGGGCCUCGGAUUUGGGGGUGGUCUCUACGGGCGGCGUCGCCGGUGGUGGGGUCGAAGUGAGGAGUGGAGGGGACGGUGGGAGCGGCGGCCUGAUGCGUCGGCGGCGGCGAGGUGGCAUGGCGGCGGCAGCAACGGCCGGAAGGGGAGGUGAGCGUGGGAGAAGCGGGACCCGCAUGAGGCUCGAAGGCGGAAAUGCCGAAUUUACGCUUUCGCUCAAGUGAAGUUACGAGGCCAUUUACAAUGGGAAUGCAUAUAGAGCUUCAUCCGAGUGGUCUCAUAGCCUCAUGUGCU